rnacentral:rRNA from 1 species
GUGCUCUGAUUUGCUUAUUGCACCACAUGUGUUUUUCUUUGAAACAAACUUGCUUUGGCGGUGGGCCCAGCCUGCCGCCAGAGGUCUAAACUUACAACCAAUUUUUUAUCAACUUGUCACACCAGAUUAUUACUUAAUAGUCAAAACUUUCAACAACGGAUCUCUUGGUUCUCGCAUCGAUGAAGAACGCAGCGAAAUGCGAUACGUAAUAUGAAUUGCAGAUAUUCGUGAAUCAUCGAAUCUUUGAACGCACAUUGCGCCCUCUGGUAUUCCGGAGGGCAUGCCUGUUUGAGCGUCGUUUCUCCCUCAAACCGCUGGGUUUGGUGUUGAGCAAUACGACUUGGGUUUGCUUGAAAGACGGUAGUGGUAAGGCGGGAUCGCUUUGACAAUGGCUUAGGUCUAACCAAAAACAUUGCUUGCGGCGGUAACGUCUACCACGUAUAUCUUCAAACUUUGACCUCAAAUCAGGUAGGACUACCCGCUGAACUUAAGC